UAGAGCCUGCGGUUUAAUUGGAUUCAACGCCGAAAUCUCACCGGGGCGACAGCAAUAUGAAGGUCAGGCUGAAGACCUUACCCGAUUAGCUGAGAGGUGGUGCAUGGCCGUCGUCAGUUCGUACUGUGAAGCAUCCUGUUAAGUCAGGCAACGAGCGAGACCCACGUCCACAGUUGCCAGCAUACCCUCCGGGGUGAUGGGUACACUGUGGAGACCGCCGCUGCUAAAGCGGAGGAAGGAGUGGGCAACGGUAGGUCAGUAUGCCCCGAAUCUCCCGGGCUACACGCGGGCUACAAUGGUUGGUACAAUGGGCAUCUACCCCGAAAGGGGAAGGAAAUCUCUUAAAGCCAAUCGUAGUUCGGAUUGAGGGCUGCAACUCGCCCUCAUGAAGCUGGAAUCCGUAGUAAUCGCGUUUCAACAGAACGCGGUGAAUACGUCCCUGCUCCUU
rnacentral:rRNA from 1 species